GAGAUGUUAACUUAAGUUAAAGUGUUAGAUUUUUAAUCUAAAAAUGUUUUUUCACGUCUUGG
rnacentral:tRNA from 1 species